rnacentral:lncRNA from 1 species
UUGUUUUAUCAUAACAUUAAACACUUGUUAGUUACUUGCCUUUCAAAAUUAUCAAAAUAGAGAAAAAUCACAUUGAGGUGUCUAUGUAAUAAGUUCAUAUCGUGAUUAGAAUCUGAAAUGAUAGGGGUCAUGUUUAGGUAAAGAAUUGUCACUAAAGCACAACCUUUAUUUCUAGAAGGACUUCUACAGGCAGUGUGGAGUUGUUUCAAAGUGCUCUCACAGAAGAUGAAGGCUGUUCCUGAUAUCCAGAAGGCUCCUUGUGUCAGCUCUUCAGAGGCAAGUUUGCAAGCACCCCAGCUGUUCCUUAUCCUAUCACAGAAAUGUCGCCUGAGUUCUGGGGAUGAACAGAACCCUAUGAAAGAUAGUGUGUAGAGAAGAAGUAUGGCUACAGUUAUGCUGAGAGCCUUGAACAGGUAAGCAUGGGCUUUAUCACUGACAACAUCCCCAGACAGAGUCAAACUUUUGAUUUGAAGAAUAAAUUUUUGCUAGAGAAUAGACA